UACGUAGGGUGCGAGCGUUAAUCGGAAUUACUGGGCGUAAAGCGUGCGCAGGCGGUUUUGUAAGUCUGUCGUGAAAUCCCCGGGCUUAACCUGGGAAUUGCGAUGGAGACUGCAAGGCUAGAAUCUGGCAGAGGGGGGUAGAAUUCCACGUGUAGCAGUGAAAUGCGUAGAGAUGUGGAGGAACACCGAUGGCGAAGGCAGCCCCCCUGGGUCAAGAUUGACGCUCAUGCACGAAAGCGUGGGGAGCAAACAGG
rnacentral:rRNA from 1 species